rnacentral:rRNA from 1 species
UAGCUAGUUGGUGGGGUAAAGGCCUGCCAAGGCGACGAUCGGUAGCUGGUCUGAGAGGAUGAUCAGCCACACUGGGACUGAGACACGGCCCAGAUUCCUACGGGAGGCAGCAGUGGGGAAUAUUGGACAAUGGGGGCAACCCUGAUCCAGCAAUGCCGCGUGUGUGAAGAAGGCCUGAGGGUUGUAAAGCACUUUCAGUGGGGAGGAGGUUUUAUUGGUUAAGAGCUGAUGAAAUGGACGUUACCCACAGAAGAAGCACCGGCUAACUCCGUGCCAGCAGCCGCGGUAAUACGGAGGGUGCGAGCGUUAAUCGGAAUUACUGGGCGUAAAGGGUGCGUAGGUUGUUGAUUAAGUUAUCUGUGAAAUUCCUGGGCUUAACCUGGGGUGGUCAGAUAAGACUGGUUAACUCGAGUAUGGGAGAGGGUAGUGGAAUUUCCGGUGUAGCGGUGAAAUGCGUAGAGAUCGGAAGGAACACCAGUGGCGAAGGCGGCUACCUGGCCUAAUACUGACACUGAGGCGCGAAAGCGUGGGGAGCAAACAGGAUUAGAUACCCUGGUAGUCCACGCUGUAAACGAUGUCAACUAGCUGUUGGUCAUAUAAAAAUGAUUAGUGGCGC